rnacentral:rRNA from 1 species
GACGAACGCUGGCGGCGUGCCUAAUACAUGCAAGUAGAACGCUGAAGGAGGAGCUUGCUUCUCUGGAUGAGUUGCGGACGGGUGAGUAACGCGUAGGUAACCUGCCUGGUAGCGGGGGAUAACUAUUGGAAACGAUAGCUAAUACCGCAUAAGAGUAGAUGUCGCAUGACAUUUGCUUAAAAGGUGCAAUUGCAUCACUACCAGAUGGACCUGCGUUGUAUUAGCUAGUUGGUGAGGUAACGGCUCACCAAGGCAACGAUACAUAGCCGACCUGAGAGGGUGAUCGGCCACACUGGGACUGAGACACGGCCCAGACUCCUACGGGAGGCAGCAGUAGGGAAUCGUCGGCAAUGGACGGAAGUCUGACCGAGCAACGCCGCGUGAGUGAAGAAGGUUUUCGGAUCGUAAAGCUCUGUUGUACGAGAAGAACGAGGGUGAGAGUGGAAAGUUCACACUGUGACGGUAUCUUACCAGAAAGGGACGGCUAACUACGUG